rnacentral:rRNA from 1 species
UCACCAGACUCCUACGGGAGGCAGCAGUGGGGAAUAUUGCACAAUGGGGGGAACCCUGAUGCAGCGACGCCGCGUGGGUGAAGGAGUCCUUCGGUACGUAAAGCCCUAUCGGCAGGAAAGAAAAUGACGGUACCUGACUAAGAAGCUCCGGCUAACUACGUGCCAGCAGCCGCGGUAAUACGUAGGGGGCAAGCGUUAUCCGGAUUUACUGGGUGUAAAGGGAGCGUAGACGGCAGUGCAAGUCCGGAGUGAAAGCCCAGGGCUCAACCCUGGGACUGCUCUGGAAACUGUAAAGCUGGAGUGCGGGAGGGGCAGGCGGAAUUCCUGGUGUAGCGGUGAAAUGCGUGGAUAUCAGGAGGAACACCGGCGGCGAAGGCGGCCUGCUGGACCGUAACUGACGUUGAGGCUCGAAAGCGUGGGGAGCAAACAGGAUUAGAUACCCCCGUAC